CUUCUCAGUUGGCUCAUAUUUAUGUGGAUUACAAGCCAGUUUGUUAUUUGUUUGCUUUCAGCAAAGGUAGUUUUGAUUCCCCAGAAACAUAUUACAAACCGAUCCUAGCAGGCGAAGUUCGCCACAGCCUUGAAAUGUCUCGAAGAAAAGCGCUUCCUCGGUUGGCAAAGGCGGAGAUUCACUGUCAUCCAGAAUGGGAAUUCUUACUGUGUCCGUUGGCACCUUGAAUCAGGCGAUUCACUCUAAGCGGAACCUCUACUGGCUAACCGCGGAGGUGUUCUGAAAGCAACCAUCAGUUCACAAAACAAAAUCAGAAAACGAAUGCCAUGCAGUACGGCAGGAAUCAUUAACCGGCGGAAAGGUAUCCAGAGUGCAUACAGUAGUAUGAACCACUUCGACUGGUCAAAAUGAGUCUAGCUCAGAAGAACCUCCCACAAGCACCAGCGUGAAUGCAUCCCUGCAGCAUCGCCUUGGAAAACCACAAAUGGAUAGCCCGGGUCAAUGCUAGCUUGAGUCAUUUAGAAAUUGAAGGUUGCUUCUGAAGUAACCAACCAGAAGUGUUCGAACAUCAUUAAAAAGUUGCACCAGCGGUAGAAGUUUAUCGGUGAAUCGCGUAAAGGUAGCGGGCAAAAUGCCGAUUUGCUCAUGAUCAAGAAACUGGAUCGCUCAGAAGGCUACGGCGAUGAAGAUGGAUGAUGUUAUGUCAUAUUUUAAGGAUCUCAUGCCAACGCCGAGCGCACCGAUUGUGAAAUAGAUGGCGUAGAAUCGGUGUUUUCAUGCUGGCCAGAAUGAACACGCCUUCUAGUUUUUAAGGUUAAAUUCCACCGGAUGCGGCGUUAGUUUUCGCUGCUGGGACCGGUGGAAGUCUCGGCAGAGCAGCAAACCAUACAUACUUGACGCUCUCCAGUACACCAUCGGAAAAUUCGUCUGUUGGCAGAAGGGCAAUAUGCUAAUCGUCAACAGCAGAAUAUACUUAUUGCCACACACCAUCCCGGGUGGAAAAAAGCGACGAAAAAUAAACUUUUUUUCAGACAUUUUUCUAUUUAUUUUAUUUGAUUCAAAAUUUCAAUUUAUUCAAAACAAAAAAAAAAUAAUAAUUUCCUUCCGUGUCAAAAUUU